AAUGUUUCAACACUGCUGGGAGUUACACCUGCUCCUGUAACACUGGAUACACACCCCCUGCUGGAGUCACUCUGACAAACAGCACCAGCCCCUGUCAAGAUAUCAAUGAGUGUGCAGCCAAUCCCUCAAUCUGUGGCCCAAACGCACAAUGUGCCAACACUGCUGGGAGUUACACCUGCUCCUGUGACACUGGAUACACGCCCCCUGCUGGAGUCACUCUGACAAACAGCACCAACCCCUGUCAAGAUCUUGAUGAAUGCAUCCAGUCUCCACUGAUCUGUGGUCCAAAAUCACAGUGUUUCAACACUGAUGGCAGCUACUUC